rnacentral:rRNA from 1 species
GACGAACGCUGGCGGCGUGCUUAACACAUGCAAGUCGAACGGGCCUUGUCCCCUUUUUUUUUGGGGGUGGGGUUAGUGGCGAACGGGUGAGUAACACGUGAGUAACCUGCCCCUCACUUCUGGAUAACCGCUUGAAAGGGUGGCUAAUACUGGGUGUUCUGGCCUGCUCGCAUGGUUGGGUUUGGAAAGAUUCUACCGGUUUUGGUUGUUUUGGUGGGGGAUGGGCUCGCGGCCUAUCAGCUUGUUGGUGGUGUGAUGGACUGCCAAGGCUUUGACGGGUAGCGGGCGUGAGAGGGUGGGCGGUCACACUGGGACUGAGACACGGCACAGACUCCUACGGGAGGCAGCAGUGGGGAAUAUUGCACAAUGGGAGCAAGCCUGAUGCAGCGACGCCGCGUGAGGGAUGGAGGCCUUCGGGUUGUGACCCUCUUUCGACAGUGAAGAAGGUCCUGCUCUUUGUGGUGGGGUUGACGGUAGCUGGGUUAAUGAAGCGCCGGCUAACUACGUG